rnacentral:rRNA from 1 species
AUUGAACGCUGGCGGCAGGCCUAACACAUGCAAGUCGAGCGGCAGCGGGAAGUAGCUUGCUACUUUGCCGGCGAGCGGCGGACGGGUGAGUAAUGUCUGGGAAACUGCCUGAUGGAGGGGGAUAACUACUGGAAACGGUAGCUAAUACCGCAUAACGUCGCAAGACCAAAGAGGGGGACCUUCGGGCCUCUUGCCAUCAGAUGUGCCCAGAUGGGAGUAGCUGGCAGGUAGGGUAAUGGCCUACCUGGGCGACGAUCCCUAGCUGGUCUGAGAGGAUGACCAGCCACACUGGAACUGAGACACGGUCCAGACUCCUACGGGAGGCAGCAGUGGGGAAUAUUGCACAAUUGGCGCAAGCCUGAUGCAGCCAUGCCGCGUGUGUGAAGAAGGCCUUCGGGUUGUAAAGCACUUUCAGCGAGGAGGAAGGCAGUAAGGUUAAUAACCUUGCUGAUUGACGUUACUCGCAGAAGAAGCACCGGCUAACUCCGUGCCAGCAGCCGCGGUAA